ensembl:snRNA U6 U6 spliceosomal RNA
GUGCUCGCUUUGGCAGCACAUAGACUGAAAUUGGAAUAAUAUAUGGAGAUUAGCAUGGCCCCAGCGCAAGGAUGUACAUCACUGCUUGGGGAACCUCAUAUAAGU